rnacentral:rRNA from 1 species
GGGUCAGUAGGUUGGUCGUGCCACCGGUACGUACUGGUCUCACUGAUUCCUCCUUCCUGAAGAACCGUAAUGCCAUUAAUUUGGUGUUGCGGGGAAACAGGACUGUUACUUUGAAUAAAUUAGAGUGUUUAAAGCAAGCUAACGCUUGAAUACAUUAGCAUGGAAUAAUGAAAUAGGACGAUCGAUCCUAUUUUGUUGGCUUCUAGGAUUGACGUA